UACGGAGGAUGCAAGCGUUAUCCGGAAUCAUUGGGUUUAAAGGGUCCGUAGGCGGGCUGUUAAGUCAGGGGUGAAAGUUUGCGGCUCAACCGUAAAAUUGCCUCUGAUACUGAUAGUCUUGAAUUAGUGUGAAGUGGUUAGAAUGAGUAGUGUAGCGGUGAAAUGCAUAGAUAUUACUCAGAAUACCGAUUGCGAAGGCAGAUCACUAACACUAUAUUGACGCUGAGGGACGAAAGCGUGGGGAGCGAACAGG
rnacentral:rRNA from 1 species